rnacentral:rRNA from 1 species
ACCAGACUCCUACGGGAGGCAGCAGUGGGGAAUAUUGCACAAUGGGGGAAACCCUGAUGCAGCGACGCCGCGUGAGUGAAGAAGUAUUUCGGUAUGUAAAGCUCUAUCAGCAGGGAAGAAAAUGACGGUACCUGACUAAGAAGCCCCGGCUAACUACGUGCCAGCAGCCGCGGUAAUACGUAGGGGGCAAGCGUUAUCCGGAUUUACUGGGUGUAAAGGGAGCGUAGACGGCAUGGCAAGUCAGAUGUGAAAGCCCGGGGCUCAACCCCGGGACUGCAUUUGAAACUGUCAGGCUGGAGUGCAGGAGAGGUAAGUGGAAUUCCUAGUGUAGCGGUGAAAUGCGUAGAUAUUAGGAGGAGCACCAGUGGCGAAGGCGGCUUGCUGGACUGUAACUGACGUUGAGGCUCGAAAGCGUGGGGAGCAAACAGGAUUAGAUACCCGCGUA